GCUCUGGAUCCGUUACCUACGGCGAGUGACCGGGAUGAGCUCAAAUUUGAAAUCUGGCGUCUUUCAGGCGUCCGAGUUGUAAUCUAUAGAGGCGUUUUCCGCGCCGGACCGCGUCCAAGUCUCUUGGAAUAGAGUAUCAAAGAGGGUGACAAUCCCGUACUUGACGCGACAACCGGUGCUCUGUGAUACGUUCUCAAUGAGUCGAGUUGUUUGGGAAUGCAGCUCUAAAUGGGUGGUAAAUUCCAUCUAAGGCUAAAUAUUGGCGAGAGACCGAUAGCGAACAAGUACCGUGAGGGAAAGAUGAAAAGCACUUUGGAAAGAGAGUUAAACAGCACGUGAAAUUGUUAAAAGGGAAACGAUUGAAGUCAGUCGUGUGGGAAGUAUUCAGCCGUCUCUGGCGGUGUAUUUGCUUCUCACGGGUCAACAUCAGUUUGAUCCGGUAGAAAAAGGCGGGAAGAAGGUGGCACCCUCGGGUGUGUUAUAGCUUCCUGUCAUAUGUGCCGGACCAGACUGAGGAACGCAGCUUGCAGCAAUGCCGGGGUUCGCCCACGUACAAGCUUAGGAUGUUGACAUAAUGGCUUUAAACGACCCGUCUUGAACCACGGGACCCAA
rnacentral:rRNA from 1 species